CGGUUUAUUAUAACGUAUGUAGAUGCUUUUUUUAAAUAAGUAAUUAAUUUUGGGAUAUUAUCUACUGAAUAUGUAAGUGGUACAAACCUUGUUUUUCUAAUGGAAUUUCUGUAAUUUCGUAUGCUUCUAUAAAUGCAUAGGUUAUUAUUAAAGGUUUCCAACCUUAAAGUGAAAGCACCUUACCCUUUUUUCAUUUUUUUGUGACAGAUUUGCUGCUGUUUUUGUGCUUUCUGGAUGUUUAACUUUGUCUGCAAUUAGUACAUCUCAAUAUUAUUGUUUUUGCUCUUUCAUGUGUAGUAUUACAGUUUUAAACUAAUGUUAUCAACCUGUUGAUCCAUUUUUCUAGCUUCCUUCACUCUUUCUGAAUCAUUAUCUUUCGAAGGGAGGGUUAAAUUAUGCGGUUCUCUAUUGAAUAUAACCUGAAAAGGUGAGCAUUUGAUCGAUUUUUGAUACGAAAUGUUUAUAUUAUAGGAGAUGUGGGGAAUAUGGUCAUCCCAAUCAUUCUGAUCACUAAAAUUUUAGCAGUAUUACAGACACGUUGUAUUAUAUUAUACCUUGAUAGUUUAAUAGCCAUAUAUACCUGUUAAUAUAUUUGCCUAAAACAUUCUUUAAUGUUUGAUUUGUUCGUUCGUUUUGCCCGUUUAUCUGUGGAUGGUAGCUAGAAGUUAUGCACUGACGAAUGGAAAGUUUUUCGAACACCCUUUCAUUAACCUGUUUCAAGAACAACUCUAAUACGGAGAUCUCUUUUUAACUACUCUUUUCAUAAAUUCACGACCCUGAUCUGUCAUAACUCGACUUGGCGACCCAAAUAAAUAAAUCAUGGUCAGUAACAAAUCUGCCACAUUUUCAGCUGUCUUUGCCU